UUUGCCCAGUCUGUAGUACAUCCUAAUUUUCAGUAAAGUUUCAGAAAAAAGGAAACCUAACUGUACCAUUCCUUGCCACUGAGUUAAUGGACUAAAGGGUACACCUUUUGCACUUUCACUAUGAUUCUUUAACCUAGAAAGGUGCAUGGGGUGCACCAACAAAACUGUUGAACCUGAGGAGAAUGAUCCUGGCCCUACAUCAGUAAAGUGUUUCAUUAUGCAGGAGUAAGCAAAGACUCAUAGCAAAUGAGGCAUAACUUUUGCCUUCUUAAAAGACAUGAGCUCCAUAUAACCUGAAGAAGCAUGUUAAAACAGACGGAUGGUCUUCAGGUACCAGCUCCUGAGUCAGCUGGACCGCAGGCCUUACAGGAGCAGGAAGGUGUUCAUCCAGAUCUUUCUGGCCAAGCAAAAACAGGAUGCACUUGUGUAUACGCAGCAGGGAUCAGCCAGCUGGAGCAGGGGCAUCUUCAGGGUCCUGUUUACCUCGUGAGGAGAUACUCAGAGUGAACAGGCCUCAGAAAAGGAGGUGAUGAUGUAAAGUUCAGGAGACAAAUGGCAGACUUACUUUUACAAAGAAAUGACACCUGAGACUUCUUCUAUAAAUGUUAAAUGUCACAUAAACCUUUCCCUACAGAAACCUUUACCAUAUCGACCAUUAUUCAAU